rnacentral:rRNA from 1 species
GGUGGAGAAUACUCCCGGGAAACUGGGGCUAAUGCUCCAUAGUGGAUAUGUCCUGGAAUGCUUUAUCCUCGAAAGAUCCGUCGCCUUAGGAUGGGACUGCGUCCGAUUAGGUAGUUGGUGGGGUAACGGCCCACCAAGCCUGUUAUCGGUACGGGUUGUGGGAGCAAGAUCCCGGAGAUGGAUUCUGAGACAUGAAUCCAGGCCCUACGGGGCGCAGCAGGCGCGCAAACUUUACAAUGCGAGCAAUCGUGAUAAGGAAACCCUGAGUGCCUGUCGAUGCAGGCUGUUCAUCUAUCUAAAUCAUAUGUGAAGAAAGGGCAGGGCAAGACCGGUGCCAGCCGCCGCGGUAAUACCGGCUGCUCGAGUGAUGGCCACUAUUACUGGGUUUAAAGCGUCCGUAGCUUGACUGAUAGGUCUCUUGGGAAAUCUUCGCGCUCAACGUGAAGGCGUCUAAGAGAUACCGGCAGUCUUGGAACUGGGAGAGGUAAACCGUACUUCGGGGGUAGGAGUGAAAUCUUGUAAUCCUCGAGGCACGACCUAUGGCGAAGGCAGUUUACCAGAACAGCUUCGACAGUGAGGGACGAAAGCUGGGGGAGCAAACGGGAUUAGAUACCCCGGUAGUCCCAGCCGUAAACAAUGUGCGUUAGGUGUGUCGGUAACCACGUGUUACUGAUGCGCCGAAGAGAAAUCGUGAAACGCACCACCUGGGAAGUACGGUCGCAAGGCUGAAACUUAAAGGAAUUGGCGGGGGAGCACCACAACAGGUGGAGC